rnacentral:rRNA from 1 species
GGACGAACGCUGGCGGCGUGCUUAACACAUGCAAGUCGAGCGGUAAGGCCCUUUCGGGGGUACACGAGCGGCGAACGGGUGAGUAACACGUGGGUGACCUGCCCUCAGCUCUGGGAUAAGGCCUGGGAAACCGGGUCUAAUACUGGAUAUGACUCCAUGACGCAUGUUGUGGGGUGGAAAGCCUUGUGACGGCUGAGGAUGGGCCCGCGGCCUAUCAGCUUUGUUGGUGGGGUGANGGCCUACCAAGGCGACGACGGGUAGCCGGCCUGAGAGGGCGACCGGCCACACUGGGACUGAG